GUGCCAGCCGCCGCGGUAAUACGUAGGUGGCAAGCGUUGUCCGGAUUUAUUGGGCGUAAAGCGAGCGCAGGCGGUUUCUUAAGUCUGAUGUGAAAGCCCCCGGCUCAACCGGGGAGGGUCAUUGGAAACUGGGAGACUUGAGUGCAGAAGAGGAGAGUGGAAUUCCAUGUGUAGCGGUGAAAUGCGUAGAUAUAUGGAGGAACACCAGUGGCGAAGGCGGCUCUCUGGUCUGUAACUGACGCUGAGGCUCGAAAGCGUGGGGAGCGAACAGGAUUAGAUACCCUGGUAGUCCACGCCGUAAACGAUGAGUGCUAAGUGUUGGAGGGUUUCCGCCCUUCAGUGCUGCAGCAAACGCAUUAAGCACUCCGCCUGGGGAGUACGACCGCAAGGUUGAAACUCAAAGGAAUUGACGGGGGCCCGCACAAGCGGUGGAGCAUGUGGUUUAAUUCGAAGCAACGCGAAGAACCUUACCAGGUCUUGACAUCCUUUGACCACUCUAGAGAUAGAGCUUCCCCUUCGGGGGCAAAGUGACAGGUGGUGCAUGGUUGUCGUCAGCUCGUGUCGUGAGAUGUUGGGUUAAGUCCCGCAACGAGCGCAACCCUUAUUGUUAGUUGCCAUCAUUUAGUUGGGCACUCUAGCGAGACUGCC
rnacentral:rRNA from 1 species